GUGUUCCUUCCUAUAUCUACGCAUUUCACCGCUACACAGGAAAUUCCACCACCCUCUACCGUACUCUAGCUUGCCAGUUUUGGAUGCAGUUCCCAGGUUGAGCCCGGGGCUUUCACAUCCAACUUAACAAACCACCUACGCGCGCUUUACGCCCAGUAAUUCCGAUUAACGCUUGCACCCUCUGUAUUACCGCGGCUGCUGGCACAGAGUUAGCCGGUGCUUAUUCUGUCGGUAACGUCAAAACAGCAAGGUAUUAACUUACUGCCCUUCCUCCCAACUUAAAGUGCUUUACAAUCCGAAGACCUUCUUCACACACGCGGCAUGGCUGGAUCAGGCUUUCGCCCAUUGUCCAAUAUUCCCCACUGCUGCCUCCCGUAGGAGUCUGGACCGUGUCUCAGUUCCAGUGUGACUGAUCAUCCUCUCAGACCAGUUACGGAUCGUCGCCUUGGUGAGCCAUUACCCCACCAACUAGCUAAUCCGACCUAGGCUCAUCUGAUAGCGCAAGGCCCGAAGGUCCCCUGCUUUCUCCCGUAGGACGUAUGCGGUAUUAGCGUUCCUUUCGAAACGUUGUCCCCCACUACCAGGCAGAUUCCUAGGCAUUACUCACCCGUCCGCCGCUGAAUCAAGGAGCAAGCUCCCGUCAUCCGCUCGACUUGCAUGUGUUAGGCCUGCCGCCAGCGUUCAAU
rnacentral:rRNA from 1 species